CCUGACUGCUAUCGGAUUGAUACUAAGCCAUGCGAGUCGUUGUAGCAAUACAAGGCAUACGGCUCAGUAACGCGUAGUCAACCUAACCUAUGGACGGGAAUAACCUCGGGAAACUGAGAAUAAUGCCCGAUAGAACAUUAUGCCUGGAAUGGUUUAUGUUCCAAAUGAUUUAUCGCCAUAGGAUGGGACUGCGGCCUAUCAGUUUGUUGGUGAGGUAAUGGCCCACCAAGACUAUUACAGGUACGGGCUCUGAGAGGAGUAGCCCGGAGAUGGGUACUGAGACACGGACCCAGGCCCUAUGGGGCGCAGCAGGCGAGAAAACUUUGCAAUGUGCGAAAGCACGACAAGGUUAAUCCGAGUGGUUUCUGCUAAAGGAACCUUUUGUUAGUCCUAGAAACACUAACGAAUAAGGGGUGGGCAAGUUCUGGUGUCAGCCGCCGCGGUAAAACCAGCACCUCAAGUGGUCAGGAUGAUUAUUGGGCCUAAAGCAUCCGUAGCCGGCUCUGUAAGUUUUCGGUUAAAUCUGUACGCUCAACGUACAGGCUGCCGGGAAUACUGCAGAGCUAGGGAGUGGGAGAGGUAGACGGUACUCGGGAGGAAGGGGUAAAAUCCUUUGAUCUUUCGAUGACCACCUGUGGCGAAGGCGGUCUACCAGAACACGUCCGACGGUGAGGGAUGAAAGCUGGGGGAGCAAACCGGAUUAGAUACCCGGGUAGUCCCAGCUGUAAACUAUGCAAACUCAGUGAUGCAUUGACUUGUGGUCAAUGCAGUGCUGCAGGGAAGCCGUUAAGUUUGCCGCCUGGGAAGUACGUACGCAAGUAUGAAACUUAAAGGAAUUGGCGGGGGAGCACCACAAGGGGUGAAGCCUGCGGUUCAAUUGGAUUCAACGCCGGG
rnacentral:rRNA from 1 species